GUUAGGAAUUUUCCGCAAUGGGCGAAAGCCUGACGGAGCGACGCCGCGUGAAGGAUGAAGAUUUUCGGAUUGUAAACUUCUUUUAUGUGGGAAGAUUAUGACGGUACCACAUGAAUAAGCACCGGCUAACUACGUGCCAGCAGCCGCGGUAAUACGUAGGGUGCAAGCGUUAUCCGGAAUUACUGGGCGUAAAGAGUGCGUAGGUGGUUUCUUAAGUUAAACGUUAAAUCUGCAGGCUCAACUUGUAGACCGCGUCUAAUACUGGGGAACUUGAGAUCGGAAGGGGCAGACGGAACUCACGGUGGAGCGGUGAAAUGCGUAGAUAUCGUGAGGAACACCGAUGGCGAAGGCAGUCUGCUGGGCCGAUUCUGACACUGAGGCACGAAAGCGUGGGGAGCGAUCGGGAUUAGAAACCCGAGUAGUCC
rnacentral:rRNA from 1 species